AAUUCAUCCAAGAUUGCUUCGUGCGGUUGCGGCGUUCCCUCACGGGGCGCCGCGGCCCCGCCUCUCCGGAGGCGUGGGCGCCCGCCGGAGGUACGAAACUCUGUAUUAUAGUGGCAUCUCUGAGUAAAAAACAAAUAAGUUAAAACUUUCAACAACGGAUCUCUUGGUUCUGGCAUCGAUGAAGAACGCAGCGAAAUGCGAUAAGUAAUGUGAAUUGCAGAAUUCAGUGAAUCAUCGAAUCUUUGAACGCACAUUGCGCCCGCUAGUACUCUAGCGGGCAUGCCUGUUCGAGCGUCAUUUCAACCCUCAAGCCCAGCUUGGUGUUGGGGCCCUACGGCUGCCGUAGGCCCUGAAAGGAAGUGGCGGGCUCGCUACAACUCCGAGCGUAGUAAUUCAUUAUCUCGCUAGGGACGUUGCGGCGUGCUCCUGCCGUUAAAGACCAUCUUUAACUCAAGGUUGACCUCGGAUCAGGUAGGAAUACCCGCUGAACUUAAGCAUAUCAAUAAGCGGAGGA
rnacentral:rRNA from 1 species